UACGAAGGGGGCUAGCGUUGCUCGGAAUCACUGGGCGUAAAGCGCACGUAGGCGGAUUGCUAAGUCAGGGGUGAAAUCCUGGAGCUCAACUCCAGAACUGCCUUUGAUACUGGCGAUCUCGAGUCCGGGAGAGGUGAGUGGAACUGCGAAUGUAGAGGUGAAAUUCGUAGAUAUUCGCAAGAACACCAGUGGCGAAGGCGGCUCACUGGCCCGGUACUGACGCUGAGGUGCGAAAGCGUGGGGAGCAAACAGG
rnacentral:rRNA from 1 species